CUUGUUGCCUCGGCGGAUCAGCCCGCUCCCGGUAAAACGGGACGGCCCGCCAGAGGACCCCUAAACUCUGUUUCUAUAUGUAACUUCUGAGUAAAACCAUAAAUAAAUCAAAACUUUCAACAACGGAUCUCUUGGUUCUGGCAUCGAUGAAGAACGCAGCAAAAUGCGAUAAGUAAUGUGAAUUGCAGAAUUCAGUGAAUCAUCGAAUCUUUGAACGCACAUUGCGCCCGCCAGUAUUCUGGCGGGCAUGCCUGUUCGAGCGUCAUUUCAACCCUCAAGCACAGCUUGGUGUUGGGACUCGCGUUAAUUCGCGUUCCUCAAAUUGAUUGGCGGUCACGUCGAGCUUCCAUAGCGUAGUAGUAAAACCCUCGUUACUGGUAAUCGUCGCGGCCACGCCGUUAAACCCCAACUUCUGAAUGUUGACCUCGGAUCAGGUAGGAAUACCCGCUGAACUUAAGCAUAUCAAU
rnacentral:rRNA from 1 species